AGAGUUUGAUCCUGGCUCAGAACGAACGCUGGCGGCGUGCCUAACACAUGCAAGCCGAACGUGAAAGUCCUUCGGGAUGAGUAAAGUGGCGCACGGGUGAGUAAUGCGUAGAUAAUCUGCCUGAUGAUCUGGGAUAACAUCUCGAAAGGGGUGCUAAUACCGGAUAAGCCCACGGGCUCUUCGGAGCUUGCGGGAAAAGGGGGGGACCUUCGGGCCUUCUGUCAUCAGAUGAGUCUACGUACCAUUAGCUAGUUGGUAGGGUAAAGGCCUACCAAGGCGACGAUGGUUAGCUGGUCUGAGAGGAUGAUCAGCCACACUGGAACUGAGACACGGUCCAGACUCCUACGGGAGGCAGCAGUGGGGAAUUUUGCGCAAUGGGGGAAACCCUGACGCAGCAACGCCGCGUGAGUGAUGAAGGCCUUCGGGUCGUAAAGCUCUGUCAGAGGGAAAGAAAUGUGGGGCGCUAAUACCGUUACCACUUGACGGUACCCUCAAAGGAAGCACCGGCUAACUCCGUGCCAGCAGCCGCGGUAAUACGGAGGGUGCGAGCGUUGUUCGGAAUUAUUGGGCGUAAAGCGCGUGUAGGCGGUUUUAUAAGUCUGAUGUGAAAGCCCCGGGCUCAACCUGGGAAGUGCAUUGGGUACUGUAAGACUUGAGUACGGGAGAGGGCAGUGGAAUUCCUAGUGUAGGAGUGAAUUCCGUAGAUAUUAGGAGGAACACCGGUGGCGAAGGCGGCUGCCUGGACCGAUACUGACCGCUGAGACGCGAAAGCGUGGGUAGCAAACAGGAUUAGAUACCCUGGUAGUCCACCCCGUAAACGAUGAGUACUAGGUGUUGCGGGGUAUUGACCCCUGCAGUGCCGCAGCUAACGCAUUAAGUACUCCGCCUGGGAAGUACGGUCGCAAGACUAAAACUCAAAGGAAUUGACGG
rnacentral:rRNA from 1 species